UACGUAGGGAGCAAGCGUUGUCCGGAAUCAUUGGGCGUAAAGCGCGCGUAGGCGGCCCCGUAAGUCCGCUGUGAAAGUCAAGGGCUCAACCUUUGAAAGCCGGUGGAUACUGUGGGGCUAGAGUCCGGAAGAGGCGAGUGGAAUUCCUGGUGUAGCGGUGGAAUGCGCAGAUAUCAGGAGGAACACCGGUGGCGAAGGCGGGUCUCUGGGCCGAUACUGACGCUGAGGAGCGAAAGCGUGGGGAGCGAACAGG
rnacentral:rRNA from 1 species